ACGUAGUUAGCCGGUGCUUAUUCUUACGGUACCGUCAUGGGCCCCCUGUAUUAGAAGGAGCUUUUUCGUUCCGUACAAAAGCAGUUUACAACCCGAAGGCCUUCAUCCUGCACACGGCAUUGCUGGAUCAGGCUUUCGCCCAUUGUCCAAAAUUCCCCACUGCUGCCUCCCGUAGG
rnacentral:rRNA from 1 species